rnacentral:lncRNA from 1 species
UAUAAAUAAGGUACUGUGUAUGCAUUUCACUUAUUGGAUUGUAGUAGUUUCUCUCCAAUCCCUCCUUCCAUGGAGGUUUCAUUUCCUCCUUCUAUGGAGUUGAUUUUCCUCCUUUAAUGGAGUUUUAUUUCCUCCCUUUGUGGAGUGUUUCUCCUCCUAUCAUGGAGUGUUAAUUUCUCCUUUCAUGGGGCUUGUAAUUCAAGUUUUUCUCAUUCAAUAAAUCUAAUACAUGUCAUUCUGGACCUCUUUAUCCUCAAACCUAUACAGCAUCAAGAAUUAUAUAAUCCUGAUGAUCAUAAACGAUAGCACGACUCCAAAAAAUGAAAGAAGUUAGGCCUUACUUUCGACCGAUUAGCCUCUUAACAUCGAAGAUAGUCCUCUCUGGAUUAGCUGCUGCCUGAUUCUUUGCAGCCUCGCCGAUCAAUCUCUCACUGUCGGUAAACGCAACCCACGAAGGGGUUAUCCGGUUUCCUUGAUCGUUCGCUAUGAUUUCAAUUUUUCCAUCUUUGAACACACCAACACAAGAAUACGUGGUUCCAAGGUCUAUCCCAAUUACCGAUCCCAGUUCGCCAGGCUUAUCUUUCGUGAGGGAAAAUGAAAAUAAACUUCCUGUUCUCAAACAAAUUAAUAACAGUUACGUUACAGGGAAAGUAAAAUCAAGAAGAUUGAUCUGAAACUUAGGGUUAGCAUUGGACUUACCGAGAAAGAAGAUGCCGAAAAAAAUUAAUGCGUAUCUUUUCCAUGAACUCGCCAUUGUUGGAAAACAAAAAUUUCUUUGAAGAAACAGGAUUACUAGAAUGCAAUAGUGUUUUAUGUGUAACAAACCAUCUAGCAGCUACGUUAUGUAUAGAGGUGAAUACUCAUGUGUCUUUGUUCUAACAUAACUAGGAGUUUGAGUAUUAGAAUUUGAAUAUAAUAACGUUAUUAAUCGUGUUCUUGUUCUAACAUAAUUAGGAGUUCUUAAUUUGUUAGGGGUAGGGUUGUCAAUGGGUCGAGCGGAGUCGGCUUGGCUCAUGAAAGCACGAGCUCGGCUCGGGCUCGCCACAAGUCAAGCUCGGUUCGUCCAAAAAUGGGUGAGCUCGACUCGGCCCACGAGCUCGUGGGCCGAGCCGAGCUCGCCCACAAGCAACGAGCCGAGCACGAACUCAACUCGUGGCGAGCAGACGUCGUUUUUCCUUUUUUUUUUUUUUGAAACAAAUAAGUAAAUUGGAAAAUAAAAAAGUAAUUUUAAUUUUUAAAUCGUGAAUUAUAUAUAAAAAACUAGGUAAAAAAUUUAAACCCUCCUCCUUUAUCCGGGCUUGGGACCGGCUAUUUAGAUUUAGAGUAGACGGAGUUAAAAAUUGUGUUGUUUGUUUAUUUAUUCAUAUACAAUUUUUUAAAGAAAAUUUAAAACAGUAUGAAAAAUUAUUGUUUCAAGCCACGCUGCGUGUCCCCUUGCAUAUAAUUUUCGAAGUAAAUCCCUUCUAAAAAUUGAAAGGGUAAUCGAAUGCCCUUUCAAUUAUCAAAAGUCUUCACUUCGAAAAUUAUAUAGAAGUCUUUCAUCUCGAAAAUUAUAUAUAAUCUUGUGAAAAACUUCUGACAAUUGAAAGGGCAAUCAUUCGAUUACCCUUUCAAUUUUCAGAAGGAAUUUACUUCGAAAAUUAUAUGCAAAGGUACAAACAGCAUUGUUCGAGAAAAGAAUUUAAAAUGUAGAUAUAUAGUAGUAAUAGUACCAAGUACUAACAAAAAUUUAACUAAAUUGGUGGAAAUGAUUUUUUUUUCCUUUUUUUUUAACUAAAAGAGAUAGAAAAGAAUAAAAAUGAAAUCUUUAUUUUUUUUAUUUUUCUUUUUAAAAUAGAUAAAAUAUAAACCCUCCUCCUUUAUACAGGUUUGGGACCGACUACUUAAAUUUUCAGUAGGCGGAAUUAAAAAUUGUACACGAACAAUUUUUUGUAGCGUGUACAAUUUUUCAAAGAAAAUUAAAAGUAACGAUAAGAAAAGAAAAGUUUCAUCAAUAUAAUUAAAUCAAAUAUCACUUACUUGAUGACAUGCAAUUUCGGCAUAUUUAUCUUGUAGUCGAAAAUGAUCGUCUUGUCUAUCCUUAACGCACAUUAACGCUUCUAAAAUAUCUUCUUUCAGUCGACUCCUGACCUCGCUCAAAACUCUUUUACUUGUACUAAAAGCAGACUCCGAACCAACAGUGCUAAUUGGAGGUGUCACAGAUUUUUUACAGUCGCAGAUAUAACUGGCCAAUGUCGUUCAUACCUUCGCCAGAAUUCAAUUACUUCGUUUGAAUUUUUUUUAACUGUUUUAUCUAUUGGCAUAUUCUAGUUGAAAUAAUCAAUUAAUUCGGUAAACAAUACAUUAUGGCUUGAGCCCAUAAAUGUUUGAUGAGAAUGAGAUACAGAUGGUGACGACAUGGCAGUGGCGGUAGUAGUAGAUGAACACAUUGCAGAUGAAUCAAAUCUAUUCGAAUUAAUACCUUGAAAUAAAUUAAAUAUUUCGCAUCUUCUUCUUCAAUUUUAGCGGAAGGAGUAGGUGCAGAUGGUACCCAACUAAUAUUGGUACCCAUUCGUUCGCAUAUAAUUCAUACCUUUCACAUAAUAUUUGCUCUAAAUUUCUAUAUGUGAUAGGUAUAUCAAAUGUUAAGGCGUUUGAAAUUUGAUCAAUUAUAUAUUUAGUUCUCGAUAAAUUAUAUCGGGGGUCCAUCACGCAUGUUAAAGGAAAUAACAUAGGCAAAUCUUCCCAAUAUUUUCUAAAUUUUAAUUCCAUGGCAAUUAUAAUUUCACUAAAAUCAAGGUCAUUUUUGUAUUUAUGAAAUAUUCUUGCAAUUAUAUAAAGACGUUCAAGCACCAUACAGUUGAAGGGAUAGUAAACGCUCGAUAAAAUCUUAGUAGUUUCAUAAAAAGAUGUCAAAAAUCUUUUAACUUUCAAAGCUAAAUACAAAUCACGUUUAGUCAACAUACCCUCAUCAUCACUUCUAACAUUUCUAUUAUUAUAAAAGUCAGUUAUUAAAUGUUCAAAACGUUUACAUAACUUUAAUAAUAAGUAAGUAGAGUUCCACCUAUGACCUACGUCGUUAACAAAUGUUUUAGCAUUUUGCACUCCUAUUUCGGCACAAUAAUUCUCAAAUGUUUGUUUUCUACUUGGGGGGAUUGUGAUAAAUAUUAGUGCGUUCCUAAUAUUUUGAAAUUCAUCUUUUAUAUGUUUUAAACCAUUUUGGAUAAUUAAAUUCAAAAUAUGACAUACACAACGAAUAUGAAAUAAAUACCCACCAAAAUCAGGUUGUAGUACCCUAUGCAAUUUUUCGGCAACUACGUUAUUAACACUAGCAUUAUCGAAAGUAAAUGAACAAAUUUUACCUUCGCAAUGAUAUUCUCUAACAAUACUAAUAAUAACAUUAAAUAUAUUAUUAGCGUUGUGAGGAGACUCAAUAAUUCUAAAAGCAAUAAAUUUUUUAUGCAUGCUCCAAAGUGGGUCUAUAUAAUGUGCAGUUGCAGCUAUAUAUGCUCUUUUAUUAAUCACUUCCCAUAUAUCCAAAGUUAAAGAUAUGACACCCCAUAUUUUUGCAAAUCCAUAAUUAAUUGUUAUUUUGUUGAAGUAAAAUGUUGUAUUGUAUCGGAACGAAGAGUGUUUCGACUUACCCCCAACGUACCUUGACUGCAGAUAUUCUUUCACGUAUGAGACAUAGUGUUGGUUCUCGAUUAAUGCCAAAGGCAACUUAGCACCAGCAACAAGUUUCACCAUUCUGGUUCGAGCUUUCUCCUCCGAAUAUACCCAUGUGGAUAGGGGUGCAGCAGAACCACCGGCGUCUGGAUUACCAAAUUGCAAUUGUGUUUAACAGCCUGAAAUAAGUCCGUGUUUGGCCGCACAUACUUUGUAAUGACAGUUGAGAUGGGUGGUACCAAUUCCUCUUUGUCAUGUCAAUCUUUGUUGGCAGUAUUUACACACUGUUUUAGAUUCUUGGACUCCAUUGACGAUUUUUCUCGUUGAAAUCAACUUAAAGUGAUCCCAACAUUUUGCUUGUUUUUUCCCCUUUCGCUUUCCCCUCGCAUCAGGAAUGUUUAAUUCAACCUCUUCUUCCUGAUCGUGUUCCGCUUCGAAAACGUCAACAUCAUCCAAAUUAAUUGGAUAAUUUGGAUUGCCGCUUACAUUAUGAUGAAGAUCCAAAUCUGGAUUAUCUUCAGGUAGGGGUACGUCAUUUAGACCUUCAAAUUGAUUCUUAAAUUGACUUUGCGGUGUCAUAGGCGAUUCGUUUCCCUCCACACCGAACAAGUUUUCGACAAAUGUGCGUGGAUCCAUUUGUUUAAUUGUAAUAAGUAAUAACUAGUAAAAGAAUAAUUGUAUAAAUGUAGUGAAAAAUGAAAAUUAGAUGAACUUUCAAUAAAUAUAGUGAGAACUGGGAAAUAAGAAUUUGAUAUUGUAUAAAUUAUAUAUAAAAAUUGCACAACUAUCAACACAACACAAGAGAGUUGAGAGAAAGAUAAUUGAGACUUGAGAGUGAAUUGUAGAAAAUUUUGUGGCUAAAUGCCACUAUUUAUAGAAGAAGAAAAAAAAUUUAAUGACAAAUACGGUCAUUUAAAAAAUUCAGUGACCGACAAUGGUAAAAAAAAAAAAUUAAUUCAGGGACCAAAACGGUCACUGACAAAAGACAAUGGCCGUUAUAUAAAGUCAUCAAAAAGUUACCGUUUUAGUCACUUUCAAAAACGAGCCCACAAGCUCCGCCUCGUCGCGAUCGGCUCGUUUUUUGUGUGAGCCGAGCGGGCUCGGCUCGCCCACCGAAUAGGCUCGCUGGCUCGAGCUCGUGCUCGUGUUUUUACGAGUCCAAGCCACCCACGAGCUUCAUUUUCUCUGCUCGCCCACUCGGCCCAUUUGCCACCCCUAGGGUAUAAUGUUCUUUUCCAGGAUAAGAGUUCUAAGUUUGUUGGGCCGUGUGAGGAUGUGUAAACCCAUUCUGCUUUACAAUAUGAAUUAAAAUCGGAAAUAUUAAUAAAUUUAGUAAAAUAUAUAAUUGAAAAGUUACAGGUCAUAUUAAAUAUAAAAUUAAAAUUAAUUGUUGAUUUUGACUUGAAAUUUUUGUAAACUUUUAAUCUACAAGGGGCAUAGUUUGCCUUAUCCCAUUUUUUAAAAUUCUUUUUUUUCUUAAAUUCGUUUUCAACAACACAUAUAAUCAAAUCCAUAACAUUUAUAAAUUUUUCAACCACGUAUUUAAAUAAUUUUUUUUAAAAUUUACUAAAAAAAUUAUUUUUAUCCAAACGAAACAGGCUUAAUAAUAAUGAAUGCCACGCUUCAUGCCACGCUUCACAAAAUUGAUCUCAAGGAAUGGUCAACCCAAAUGCUUGGCAAUUUCCUCCUUGUAUUCUAGAGCUCUCCAGGAAGUCUCCUUGUUCACGUAGAGAUUUCGUAGUUUAGAAAUGGCAAAUAAAUUCGCCCUGCCCCUUCCCAAACCCGCCCGUGAAGAAGGAAAAAAAUUGUUAGUUUAAGCACCAUUCGACUAUUUACUUUGAAUUUUAAAAUUUUGAAUUUGUAUUUUAUUAUCUAAUAAUAACAUAAUUCGAAAUUUUGAAUAUGUAAAAAAUAAUAAUAAAUAAAUCAAUAAAUACAAACGGGACAAACCACUGCCCCGCCCCAUCUAAGAGGGGGCGAGAUGGGACACCCGACCCACUGCCAUCCAAGCUCCACAAACAAUACCACUAAUAUUAUGACAAUCUCUAAACAAACAAAUAUAAAAAUAAAUCCCACUAACUAACAUUUACAUUAAUUAAUCAGCUUAUUAAAUUAAUUAACCUUUUCCCCCAUGAAUUGUCCUUUUUGCUUUAAAUAAUAAUAGCCGUCCAUUAUAUAUAUUUUGUGAACCCGUCAAAUUAAGUAUUUGUUUAUUUUUUAUUUUUAACGCUUUGUUUUUCAAUUAAACUUUAUAGGAUUUCUUUUCCUCUGAGUAUCAUUAGUGACUCUUGCUGCACUUUUUGAUUGCCUUGCCUCGUAUUUUCUCUUAUAUUUGGUAACAUAAUCAACCAUAAAGGUUGUCAUGCCUCUGCCUAUGUGACUGUUAGUUAAGCAAAAUAUCAAGCGAGCACCUCACUCCGUCGACACUACCACGUCGUCUAGGGUGAUUGUCACGUAUUGCCUCUCCAUUUUUUUCUAGGAGAUAAAGUCAAAUCCCAUCAUCUCGCCCGCUCUCUCCCAAGACGUUGUAGGCAUUACCCAAUGUCUUGCCUUCAUACCUCCCCCGUCCCCCUAGAGGUGUAGACUUGUCAUUUGCCCUUUAUGAGGCAACAAAAAUAAACUUAGUCUUUAGCCACAUCAAAUGGGCCUCUUCGAUCGAAGUGGUUGAGGCAUGACCACGAUGCUCUACGUAAAUUACAAUUCAUGAAACCUUGAAUGACAUGUAAUUUGAUUAAUUUGGCAUUUUUCUAAAGGUGACUUAAGUAAAAUACUUGCAAAUUUUUCUAGGACAGUGUAGAAUCUGGAUGUGAGCCAAAUUCUUUGUUAAAUAUAAUUGAGAGUUCUAAUUAAAGCACACGUUAAGAGAAAUUCUAUUUGGAAUGCUUUUGAAAUCCUAUUCGAAGUUUCUUGGACAAAUUUUGGAUGAAGGUCUAUUUUAAAUCCUAUUGAGAUUUAGAAUUUGUAUUGGACUUAAAGAAAUAAAGAUAAGAAAACUUUUGAACAAGUCUAUUUUAUCUAGAACUCUAUUCUAAGGUUUGGAUUGUUCCCUAUAUAUAUUGGGUUCUUUCCUACAAUUUAGGUUGGGUUGUUUAACCUCAUUAUAAGUUAGAAAAAUUGUAAACACAUAAUCUUUGUUCUCUUUCUCCAUAUUAAGAUAAAAUAUUCAUCUUCUGCAAAUUAUUUUUCUUCUUGUAUUCUUGUGAUAUUUAUUUUAUAUAAUUGUCUUAAUCUUUUAUAUUUUCAUAACAAAUUGGUAUCGAAACUAUUCCACUUUCAAUAAAGUGGUUUCAAAUUUGGUCCGAUUCAUAACAGACGGGGAGUGGGAGAUCACAUGCCUAUAAUGGCUAUUGUGUGACAUUUUUUAGCUUGACAUGUAAGCAGUGGGAUGAAGUUACAUGUCAAGCAUCCAAUGAGCCUCAUUUACAUCUCGUUUGCCUAUAAAUACUUAAAAUUGGUGUCAUUUGAAAGUAAAAACAAUUUAGUAAUAUCAAUCUCAAAUAUAAACUCCUUGUAUUCUCUUUUUUCUCGUGUUUUUCCCACACCCACAUAAUUGCCUAUUUGUUUAACUUGAGCGUCUAAUUGUACGUGAUCAUUGUCUCUACCCUUUUGUAGUUGGAAGUCCGGUUGUGAUUUUUAUGUGUGUCCAAGUGUUCAAGUAACAUACACGUGUAAGAAAAAAGAGUUGGAAUAUGUUUACAACUAAGAGGUAACAAAAGUUUUUUGCAGUAAAUGAUAUUUCUACAGUCUCUAAGAUUGUGUAAGAAAAACAAAAUUAUUUACAGGAUGUAAGGAGAUGAUAUUGAUCACCAAAGAUAACCCAAGCUCAGUUUAUACCCACUUCCUAUACCACAAAGCCGAAAACUACGAACCCAAGACAAUACCAAGUUUACUUCCGGUUGCCAAUGAGAUAUAUCACUUAUGAGACCACAAAAGAGUAAGAAAUCUCAUAAACUAUCACCACUAAGAUGAUAGACAAAAAGAGACAGAGAAGAUGGAAGAAGAAACCAUGAGAAUUGGCUAAGAAUAGGAGGCGGCGACGGGUCCCUCAAAAUAAGAGAAAGAGAGUGACCCAAAUAAGGUAAGUAUAGGUAUGUUAAACAAUGGGUCAAAUUAGAGGCCCAAGAGACAAUUAAAUAGGCUCACAAUAUAUUCUCCCAAUUAAUGGCCAUCCAAGGAAGUGUAUUGGGCCAUGAGCAACACUAAAUUAUUUAGGUUACUUCGAGUGGCCCAGGUCGUAUUGUUUCGAAUGUGGUGUUGGAUUUUCGUUCAGUCAUUUGGCUAGGCCGACUGAAAACUUAAACCGAGCCCGGGGGAGGUCGUUUGACAACAAAUUGCUUAACAACCUCCACCUUAGUGUCAAAAGACCUGCAAAAAGAAACGUCUUCCAUUAGUGACACCUCUAAUAGAAAAACGAUAAAAUUGAAAAUCAUUUACCUGUACAAAUAUUUAGAAGAUCCUUGCAACUUCUAAACUUUACCAAUGAUAGCACUUUUAUACCCAUAUAUGAAGGGUUGUAUUGUGUGUGAAUCUUUUCAAGUCUUACCACCUCUUGAGAUACUAUAUCUCUAAUAAAGUGUAAUAUAACAUCCAUGUGUUUAGUGCGUUUGUGAAAAACAGGGUUCUUACAUAAAUGUAUGGAUGACUGACUAUCAGAAUACACAACCACAUACUCAUUCAAGACAUAUAAUUCAUGAAGUAAACAUCUAAGACAUAAGGCCUCUUUAACUGCUUUAGUAGUAACAAUAUACUCAGAUUCAGUGGUGGAUAGUGCAACAAUGUGUUGUAACUGUGAUUUCCAACUAACAGAUGAAUUUGAUAGGGUAAACACGUAAGAGAAAGUCAAUUUCCUACCAUCCCUAUAUCCCGCAUAAUCAGCAUCUACAAAACCCUUCAAUUUCACGCCUUCCUUAUUAGCACUAAACUUCAGACCUAUGUGACCCGCACCCUUCAAGUACCUGAAUAACCACGUUAAUGCUUCCCAAUGUUCAGGGCCUGGAUUAGCUAUGUACCUACUAAGAGUACUGACAGCAAAACCUAAAUUCGAUCUAGUGCAAACCAUCAAAUACAUUAUGGAACCAAUCACAUUAGAAUAUGAUACUCUACUCAUGUAUUCUAUUUCACGUUCGUUGCAAGGAGAUUGUUCUUUAGAUAAAACAAAAUGGCUAGGUUUGCAAUCACUCAUAUUAAAUUUUUUCAACACUUUGCAUAUGUACAGAGACUGAUGCAAGAACAAGACGGAAUUUGACCUAUCUCUUUCUAUUUCCAUGCCUAGAAUUCUCUUAGCCUUAUCUAGGUCUUUCAUGUCAAAUUCACUAGCUAGUUUUGCUUUUAUAUUAUUUAUCCACUUAGAAGAAAAUCCUAUCAAAAGUAUGUCGUCCAAAUAAGGCAACAGAAAUAGAUAAUUAUUAUCAGUCUCGUUAUGUUGAAAAUAUAGACAGUGAUUAAAUUUACUUCUUUGGAACCCUAUAGUGAGUACAAAGGAAUCAAAUCUCUUGUACCACUAUCUAGGUGAUUGUUUUAAAUCAUACAGGGAUUUUUUUUCAGAAAACACACAUAAUCAGGUUUUGACUUAUCCUUAAAACCUUUUGGUUGAUUCAUGAAGAUUUGUUCAUCAAGCUCACCAUGUAGAAAAACAGUUUUUACAUCAAGUUGUUCAAGUUCUCAGUCAAAAUACGCAAUCAAAGCAAGCAUGACCAUAAUAGUGGUGUACUUAAUAAUUGGUGGAAAAAAUCUCAUUAUAAUCAACGUCCUCCUUCUGUGUAUAACCCUUAGUCACUAACCUAACUUUAAACUUUAAGCGUUCCGAGCCACUAGUACCUUCCUUAACCUUAAAAACCCAUUUGCAAUCGACGAUCAAUUUGUUCUUAGGCCUAGGUACUAGCUCCCAAGUUUGAUUCUUUUCUAGAAAACUCAUAUCUUCUUUCAUCGCUUUAAGCCACUCCUUAGAUUGAUCAUUACCUAUUCCAUCUUCAAAGAUUUUUUGCUCUUUAUCAGCUAGUUCUUCGGAAAUAGCGUGGACAAAAGCUAAUUCAAAUUCAAAACUGAACCUUCUAGGUUCUCUCGUCUGUCUCCUCUCUCUAUCCCUAACUAGAUUAUAAUUAGUUAAGGGAUUUUCUUUUUCAGGGUGUUCUUCUAUCACUACUUCGUUACUGUUCUCCACUUUAGGUCCCUAAACCUGAAUCUCCACCUCAAUUGGAGUAGUAGGGACAGGUGUACUAAAUUUUCCUAACUCCACCUUAAACCGAUGUCUCUCCUUACCUGGUUCAGCUUUACUCACAGGUUCGAUUUUCCCUUUAAUACACGGCAUCUCAUUCUCGUUAAAUGUGACAUCCCUACUCACGAUGAUCUUAACCCCCUUUUGACUUCUAUCCCAUAAUAUGUAUCCCUUAGCACCCUCGGGAUACCCUAGAAAGACGCACUUUCUAGCUCUAAGUUCCAACUUUCCCUCGCUUUGAUGAGAAAAGGCAGCACAGCCAAAAGUUCUAAACAUAAAAUAAUCACUCAGUUUACCUGACCAUCUCUCAUAUGGAGUGUCACAAUUCAUUGCUGCAGAUAGAGUCAAAUUAAUCAAAUAACAAGUAGUCAUAACAGCCUCACCCCAAAGGGGACACUAGAACUUAACAUCAUGCAAUGCACUUUAUCAAGUAUGGUUCUAUUCAUCCUUGCGGCUACCCCGUUUUGCUGGGGAGUGUAAGAAAUAGUCUUAUGUCUAGUUAUGUCAUUUUCUUUACACAUACUCUCAAAUUCCGUGUUGCAAAACUCUAGGUCGUUAUCUGUCCUUAAAAAAUUGAUUUUCUUACCAGUUUGGUUUUUCACUUGUCUCUUCCAGUUAUUGAAAUUAUAAAAAGUCUCAGAUUUAACUUUCAAUAGAUAGGCCCACAUUUUUCUAAUAUAGUCAUCGAUAAUAGACAGGAGAUACAUAUUCCCACCCGAUGUGGGAUUACUAGCAGGACUCCACAGAUCAGAAUGCACAUAUUCAAGCAUGCCUUUAGCUUUAUGAACACUCGUGGAGAAUAAAGUUUUAUGAUGCUUACCAAGUACACAAUGAUCACAAAAUGACAAAUCUGACACACAGUCAUUACCAAAUGCACCUUUUUCAUUAAGUAGCUUAAAUCCCUUAAUGCUUACAUGUGCAAGUCUAUUAUGUCAUGUGUGUGUGUAAUCAAUCUUGACAGAAGAGAUAGAAGAGUUCAAACCUCUAAUCACUUCCCCAGUAGUGAUAUAGAUGUCGUUUUUCUCAGUUCCCUUAAUGAAAACUAAAGCACCCUUAAUCAUUUUUAGCAUACCAUUUCCAAUUUUACUAGUGAAGUUAUCAUUUUCAAGUCUCCCUACUGAAAUCAAAUUCCUAGACAAUUCAAGAAUAUAUCUAAUCUUUUAACGUGUACACAAAACCCGUGUGAAAUUUUACGUUUAUGUCACCAAUUCCAGCAAUAGUAUAGGCAUAGUUAUCACAUAGCACAACAUGCCCAAUAUUAGAUUCAUGUAAGUUAUAAAAUCAAUUCUUUUCAGACAUCAGAUAGAACGAUCACCAGAAUCAAGUAUCCACUCAUGCAUGCGGGAAUUAGCAGUUAGAUUUAAUUCAACAGUGUAUGCAACUGGACUUAUAAGCAUAUAGACCUCAUCGUUAUCUAUCUCAGAUAUAGAGGACAACACAUUUACCUCAUCUCUCUCCUAAAUCUUUAACUUGCCCUUUUCUUUAUGGAAGUCUUUUAUAAAAUGCUCUGUGUUUUCACAGCCAUAGCAUUUUCUGGCCUUCGUCCUAGAUUUUGAUCUAGAUUUACCCUUGCUGUUCUUUUCCAUCCAUUGCCACUUGACUCGCCACCACUUUGAUAUCCAUCAUGACUAUUUUGCCUAAAUUGAGUUCUAACCGGCAUCAUAUGUAACUCACCACUCCUCUUAUCAUGUUUUUCAGCCCUAAUUUUCAUCUCUUUACUCCUAAGAGAGUCUAUGACAAUUUUAGGUGUCAAUGUAUCUCUACCAUACUUAAUGGAGUUCUUAACUUCCUUAUAGGAAUCAGGGAUCACAUUGAGAAAAAUUAUAGCCUUAUAAGUUUCGGACACAGCCUCAUCACAAUUAACUAUAUCUUGCACCAACUUGUUAAACACGUCUAAAUUGUCAUCGAGAUCCUUUGAAGGAUCUAUUUUAAAACUGAAAAAACCUUCUAACAAGCAGAUUUUAUUCGAUGUAGAUUUAGACAAAUACAAGUCUUCUAAUUUUUUUCCAAAGUUCUUUGGUGGUUUUCAGUUUACACACCUUUCUUAAAAUGGCGUCAGACAAGUGUAAAAUUAUUGAAGUGUAAGCAAACUCAUCGGCUUCUUUUCUUUGUUCUUUUGAAAAAUCAAUUGAAAAAUUGUCUUCAAUGGCCUUUGAAACAUUUUGUUGGACUAAAAUACCCUUCAUUUUUUGUUGCCAAAUAGAAAAGUCACCCUUUCCAUUAAAAAUCCCCAAAUCAAAAUUGUGAGUUGUCAUCUUCACACAACAGUUAAAGGAUGCACAAAACACAAUCAAACCAUACAAACUAGUCCUAGGGUCAUAGACAAUAUACUCCGUUCUAGAUUCUUAGGAUUUCGUAAGACUCGCAGUCUUAGAUCAAGGGAAUGUUCAAAAUGGGUAAAGUCACUAUAAUUCUAAUGGAAUUAAUAAGCAGCGAAAAUAACAAUGCAACAGAAAAUUACAUCUAACAGAUAAUCAGUUUCACGGCAAUUAUAUCACUAAGAAUAAAAUAUUGAUUUAACUAAAAGUCAUAUACUCAAUCAAACAAUUAAGAGCACAUAACCCUAAUUUCUAGCAUAAGCAAUAAGCCCCAAACCUAAUAAUCACCCCCACACGAUGAUCUGCUAGUGCAAAAAUAUAAAUGUUUCAGUCAAUUUACCAGAGCCGACCUAUCUGAGUCCAUAGUGUGGAGAGAUGCGAAUUUGCUGCUUUAGGGCCCCACUAUUCGCUUUAAAGAUUCAGCAAAUAUAACAAUUCCGAUCAGCAACAAAUGUAGAUUGAGGUCAAGGACGAAAUCGUCCAACUUUUCCUGCGCAACCUGAACCACUAAACCAAACACAUCAAAAUGUUCAGGAGAAUGAAAUAAACGAAAUGGUAGAAAAAAUCACGCUGCAGGGCCUCCCACUCGCCUCAUCGGACCGCCGCCGUCGCCACCACACACUACCUCACAGGGGGCCCCUCGACCUACUGGUUAUGGGUCCGAACUUCGUUUGUCCAAAAGAGAUCCAGUUUGGGAGUAAUUAAAGGAUUUAGGUUCGAUCAGUUUGAAAAUGGUGCCUUUCUCUCUCGAUUUUGGACUGUUUUGACAUAAAUUAAAGCCCUACGCUCUGAUACCAAAUGUAAGGAGAUGAUAUUGAUCACCAAAGAUAACCCAGGCUCAGUUUAUACCCACUUUCAACACCACAAAGUUGACAACUACGAACUCAAGACAAUACUAAGUUUACUUUCGGUUGCCAAUGAGAUAUAUCACUUAGGAGACCACAAAGGAACAAGAAAUCUCAUAAACUAUCACUACUAAGAUGAUAGAUAAAAAGAGACAGAGAAGAUGGAAGAAAAAAUCACGAGAAUUGGCUAAGAAUAGGAGGCGAUGACGAGUCUCUCAAAAUGAGAGAAAGAGACCAAUUUAUCUUUCAAUCAAGUAGCCCAAAUAAGGUAAGUAUAGGUAGGUUAAAAAAUGGGUCAAGUUAGAGGCCCAGGAGACAAUUAAAUGGGCUCACAAGAUAUUCUGUCAAUUAAUGGCCAUCCAAGGAAGUGUAUUGGGCCACGAGCAACACUAAAUUAUUUAGGUUGCUUCGAGUGGCCCAAUUAACCUUCGGGUCGUAUCGUCUCGAAUGUGGUGUUGGAUUCUCGUUCAGUCAUUUGGCUAGGCCAACCGAAAACUUAAACCAAGUAACAUCAUAGCGCGGAGGAGGUCGUUUAACAACAAAUUACCUAACACAUGAGCAUUUGUUUCAAGAAUCUAUCACCUAUAUAUGAAAUCGAACCAAAUUGCAACUAUUGUUUGUUUUGCAUGUUGAAAUGAUUAGUUUGCUUCCAUGUACGAAAAUUAUAAUGCGCGCACAUGUGUGUGUUUGUACACAUAUAUUAUUAGAUCCUGGUAUUUGAAAUCACUGCAAGAUAGUUUCUAUUUUUAAAUUUAUUGUCCAUUUUUAAAUUCCCAAGUGAUUUCAUGAGUAUAGCUCGAUGAAGUUGUAAUUUCUAGGCUUCUACUCGAGUUGUCAUUCUGGCUUUUAGUAGCAAGUUCUUUUGGACAAUGUCAAUAUUUAUAUUAAAAAUUACUCCUUUAUAUGGAUGACUACAUUGUUAGAGUAGGAAAGAAGACCUUGAAAAGAUGAGUGGGAAUAGGCUAUGAUGUGAUCCAGGAAACACAAGCGACAAAGUCAAGUCCAACGUCAAGCCCGGGGAAAGAUCCGUUGAUAGUCGAAGGUAGGCCAAUGACGCGAGUGAGGAUGAAGCGAGUGAAAGAGGCAAUGGGAUUGCUUGCCAAGGCGACCACUGAUGAAACCAUGUUCAGGAUUCAAAACGGGACAAGUUUCAUGUUGGGGACGAAGGCUAAAGAAGUUUGGAUUAAUGUAUUUCAAGUGACGAAAAAAGGGAGCUCAACCGAGAGCUAUGUGGCUGUCCAACCCAUGCGGUCACAACGAGGGUGGCAGGGACUUCGAGCCAGGUGAAAAGUUGUACUAUGCGACUGCAUAGAGGAAAACUUAGGCGGAUGUUCUAUUUUUGGCGAGAAGUUUAUUUUCAUUAAAACUCUUAUUAUUUGGUAACUUAAUAUUGCUAGGAGUUUAUAAUUUCAUUUUCAAUUAUUUUACUAGAGUUUUUUUCCUUUUAAAACUAGUUCCUAGGUUUAGUAUAAAUAUGAAUUUUUUUCUACAUUGUAGGAACUUUUUUGACAUUAUUAUUAUCGAGAUGCUUUUAUUGCUUUCUUCCUGUGUUCGUCAAUUGGACAAUCUGCAAACUUAUCAAGAUUUAAAUCUUGUGACGUUCAAAUCAACCGGGUGAGAUUCAAAUAUUUUUGUGUAAUCAAGAGGUCUGCACAUUGUCGGUGAUUCAGUUUGCUUGAUUUCAAAUUUAUUGAGUUUAAUCCAAAACCUUACUUUGACUUUCUUGGGUUGAUUUAUCGUGAGUUUGGUAGGGUUUGCCUACGCAGGUUCACAUCAAUUGGUAUCAGAGCUUAGACUCCAAUCUAAGGUUAUAUCUCUUUUAAAUUCUUGUUGAGUCAGUUAUCUUUUCUUUUCUUUUGUUUUUGUUUUCGGUGUUCUUCAAGUCAACCAUUAGUUUUGAGUCGUUGAUCAAAAAAAAUUUCAAAAGUUGUUUUUAGAUUCAAUUUGCAUCCAAAUCAACUUCCGUUUGUUGCGUUAGCAUCGUUGUUGAUUUUUCUAUCUCAAGAGAAAAAAAUUAUUGUUCAUUGUACGGCACUGUUCAUCCAUACAGAAAUAAAAAAAUCCAAAAAAAAAAAUCCGACUUUAAAAAAAAUUGUUAUUAUUGCUAUUGAUCUUGGGAAUUUACCGGCUUCAUUAGUCCAUUUUAUUAUUUGUGUCUAGUUUAAUUUUCCAGCCAAUUUAUUCUUCUAUUUUGUAUCCUUGAGUCAUUUUCUUUGUUUUGUCUAGUCUGAAUCGUUAACCAAGUUAUUCUAAAUUCUUCGGGCUUAUAAUCUAGCUCACACUGGUUUGGAUUCCACUGAUUAAAUUUUUGAUUGAGUUCCAAAUUGUUCUUUUGAGGCACUUGGUGAAAGCAACGAGUGGUAAAAGGCAGAGUGAUGAGAACAAUCGAGGGAAAAGCCAUAUUGAGUAAAUUCCGAGUAAAAUUUGUGAGGCAGAAAAAUAAAUUAGAUUUAGGAUGUCGAACAGGGAAGGAUCAAAUCCUGGUAGAAUUGAUGAUUAAAUUACUAUGCUAGAGGAAUCGAUACGAAGGAUUGAGAUGAUAUUUGGAGAUGUGAGGGAUCGAUUGAAUAUGCCGGAUGCACAAUUGGAAAGGGUAAAUCCAAUACCUACUAAUGUACGAAGGGAAUGUCCUAAUGCAUGGAGAUAAGGUAGACUGGAACUUAGGAUGGAGGAAUAUAGUGAUCUUGAUCUUGAAGUUGAUAGUGGGAUAGAUAAAGAUGCGAUUGUGGAUGCGGAGAUUGGAAGGGGAAGAAAUAGAGGUGUUAGGUAAGAAUUUUAAUGGAGACGGGGUGGGUGGAAAUUUGGGAAACAUUAAAAUGACCAUUCCUUCAUUCAAAGGGAUGAGUGAUCCGGAGGCAUAUUUGGAGUGGGAGGAGAAAAUUGCAUUAAUCUUCGAUUGUCACAAUUACUCGAGGGAGAAAAAGGUGAAAAUUGCAGUCCUUAAGUUCACCAAUUAUGCAAUUACUAGGUCGGGUCAAGUAGUGACUACGAGGCGGAGAAGUGGGGAACACCCUAUCAACACAUGGGAGGAAUUGAAAACUAUAUUGCGGAAGAGAUUUGUACCUAAUCACUACUACCGUGAGCUUUAUCAAAAAUUGCAAAAUUUAUAUCAAGACUCUAGAAGUGUAGAAGAUUACUAUAAGGAGAUGGAAAUGCUAAUGAUUAGGGAAAAUGUGGAGGAGAAUAGGGAAGCCACUAUGGCUCGAUUUUUGAGUGGGUUGAAUAGAGACAUUGCAAAUAUAGUGGAAUUACAACAUUAUGUGGAAAUUGAAGACAUGUUACAUGUAGCCAUGAAGGUAGAGAGGCAGUAAGCGAAAGGGGACAAUGAGGUACCAAUCUGGAUCUUCAGGUUCUAAUCCUUCUUGGAAAUCGAAGUGGAAAAAUAAAAAAUGAGAUGGACCUCUUGCAAGAGGGAGGGUCGAGGUACCAAGAAGCAAGGAAAAGAGUGCUAGCAAGGCCAUACCAAAGGGGGAGUCACAGCCAUGAAGAAACAGGGACAUCAAAUGUUUUUGUUGCUUGGGAACGAGGUACAUUACUUCUCAAUGUCCAAACAAGAAACAAUGAUUCUGCGGGAUAGCGGGGAAGUAUAAACUGAAAGUGAAAGUGACUAUGCAGACAUGCCAGAAUUGGAGGAUGCUGCUAAAGAAGACACCAUUGAGUAUGUGGUUGGGGGUAAGCUAUUGGUCGCAAGGCGAGGUCUCAGCGCUCAAAUCAAGGCGGAUGACUUGGAGCAACAGUGAGAAAACAUAUUCUACAUGCGAUGGCACGUCAAUGACAAGGUAUGUAGUGUAAUAAUUGAUGGUGGAAGUUGUACUAACGUGGCUAGCACUAAUAUAGUGGAAAAUUGAGUUUAACAUUAUUAAAGCAUCAUCGGCCCUAUAGAUUACACUGGUUAAAUGAAUGUGGGGAAAUUAAAGUGACAAAAAGGGUGUUAAUUAAUUUUUCCAUUGAUAAAUAUCAAGAUGAGGUGAUGUGUGACGUUGUAUCUAUACAUGCGGGGCAUAUCUUGUUAGGAAGACCAUGGCAAUACGAUAGGAAGGCAAUGCAUAAUGGGUAUAAGAAUAAGUAUAGUUUUGUGAAAGAUGAAAGGUCUGUCACUCUUGUGCCAUUAACACCGGUACAAGUAGAUGAAGACCAAAUUUAACUUAAAAAUGAAGAAGAAUCGAGAGUAAGAGAGUUAGAGAAAAAGAGAGAAAAUAGUGAGGUGGCUAAUAAAAAUAAAAAGAUAGUGGGGCCACAUGAGAUAAAAGAAAGAGAGUCUUCCGUAAGGAGAGAAAAGUCGAAACAAAAUUUCUUUACGAGAGAGAGUGAAUUGAAAAAUGGAAUAACGGAGAGACAACAAAUGAUACUAUUGGUUUAUAAGAAGUCACUCUCAACUUUGAAGAGCCUCACACAUCCCUCCCUAAUUUGACUAUUUUUUGUUGCAGGAAUUUGAACAUGUAUUUUCGGAGGAUGUGCCGAGUGGGUUACCACCCAUUAGGAAAAUUGAGCACCAAAUUGAUUUCAUACAUGGAGUUGUCAUUCUUAAUCGACCAACUUAUUGGAGUAAUCCAGAGGAGACAAAGAAGUUUCAAAAACAAGUGGAGAAAUUGAUGAGCAAGGGUUAUGUGAGGGAAAGCACGAGUCCAUGUGCCGUACUUGUACUGCUGGUGCCAAAGAAAGAUGAAACUUGGAGAAUGUGCGUGAAUUGCAGAGCCAUCAACAACAUCACGAUAAAGUAUUAUCAUCCAAUUUCUAGGCUAGAUGGCAUGUUAGAUGAACUACAUGGUGCAUGCAUAUUUAGCAAAAUUGAUUUUAAGAGUGGGUAUCAUCAAAUUAGCAUGAGGGAGGGUGAUGAAUGGAAAAUUGCUUUUAAAACUAAAUGCGGUUUGUAUGAAUGGUUAGUCAUGCCGUUUAGGCUUACAAAUGCACCAAGCACUUCUAUGCGACCAAUGAAUAAUGUUUUGCGUGCUUUUAUUGAAAAAUUUGUUGUAAUUUAUUUUGAUGACAUUUUAAACUAUAGCAAGAAUCUUGAUGAACAUGUAGAACAUUUGAGGUAUAUGCUUGUGGUUUUGAGGAAAGAAUAGCUUUAUGCUAAUUUUAAAAAGUGCAUAUUUUGAAUGGAUAGGAUUGUAUUUCUAGGCUUUAUAGUUAGUGCUAAUGGUGUAGAAGUAGAUGAAGAGAAAAUAAAGGCUAUUAAAGAUUUGCCAACACCUAAAAAUAUAACUGAAGUUAGAGGUUUUCAUAGAUUGACUAGUUUUUACAAGCGUUUUGUUAGAGACUUUAGCACAAUUACCACGCCACUAACUGAAAUUGUCAAGAAAAAUGUGGGGUUUCAAUGGAGGGUAGAACAAGAACAUGCAUUCAACACUAUCAAAAAUUGUUUGUGUAAAGCACCAGUUUUAGCACUCCUAACUUUGACAAAACUUUGGAGAUUGACUGUGAUGCAUCAGGAAUAGGUAUUAGAGCAGUCUUAAUGCAGGAUAAGAGAUCGAUAGCUUACUUUAUUGAAAAGUUAAGUAGUGCAGCUCUCAACUAUCCUACAUAUGAUAAGGAGCUAUAUUCAGUUGUUCGAGCCUUUCAGACAUGGCAGCAUUACAUAUGGUCAAAGGAGUUUGUAAUUCACAUCGACCAUGAAUCGUCGAAGCAUUUGCGGGGUCAAGGUAAGUUGAACAAAUGCACACUGGAUGGAAUUCAUAGAAACUUUUCCAUAUGUCAUCCGUUUCAAACAAGGUAAGGAACAUGUAGUAGCAGAUGCAAUGUCGCGAAGGUACGUGCUUCUAACUACUUUAAGUACGAAAUUACUUGGCUUUGAGUACAUUAAGGGUAUGUAUGAUAAUGAUCUUGAUUUUUUCAACAUUUACAAUUCAUGUCAUAAGGGAGCUGUAGAUAAAUUAUUUAAGUAUGAGGGAUACUUGUUUAGGGAAAACAAAUUAUGUGUUUCUAAUUGCUUUAUGCGUGAGUUGUUGGUUAGAGAAGCACAUAUUGGGGGACUACUGGGUCACUUUGGGGAUAGCAAAGACCUUAGAAAUAUUAACUAAACAUUUUUAUUGGCCUAAAAUGAAAGUUGAUUUGGAACGGAUUUGCAAUCGAUGUAUAACUUGUAAAAAUGCUAAAUCUAUGGUCUUACCUCAUGGACUUUACACACCUUUGCCAAUGCGUAGUAAACCUUGGGUAGACAUUUCCAUGAAUUUUGUGUUAGGUUUGCCUAGGACUAAAAAGAGAUGGGAUUCGAUUUUUGUAGUGGUGGAUGUGUUUAGUAAAAUGGCACAUUUCAUUCCAUGUCACAAAACCGAUGAUGCCACUAACAUUGCAAACUUGUUUUUUUAAAGAAAUUGUGCACUUGCAUGGAGUACCUAAAAGUAUUGUGUCAGAUAGGGAUGUUAAAUUUCUUAGUCACAUUUGAAAGGUCUUGUGGAAUAAGUUAGGCAUGAAAUUACUAUUUUCUACAACUUGUCACCUAUAAACCGAAGUAGUGAAUAGGACCAUAACACAACUAUUGCGCACUGUGGUUAAUAAGAAGUUGAAAAAUUGGGAAGAAUAUUUACCUUUCAUAGAGUUUGCAUAUAAUGGGGCCACACACUCCACUACGUCGUUUUCUCCAUUUGAGAUUUUUUAUGGUUUUAAUCCAAUAACACCUAUAGAUUUAAUAUCUUUGUCUGUGAAUGAACGAGGUAGCUUGGAUGGGAAGCAAAAGGCCGAGUUGGUGAAAUCACUCCAUGAAAAGGUAUGGGAGCAAAUUGAGAAGAAGAGCAAGCAUUAUGCCGAGCAAGUAAAUAAGGGUAGGAAGAUUGUUACCUUCGAACCAGAAGAUUGGGUUUGGGUACAUUUCAGAAAAGAGUGAUUUCCAGAGCAAAAGAAAUCAAAAUUGUUACCACAGGGAGAUGGACCGUUUCAAAUACUUAAGAAGAUCAAUGACAACGCAUACAAAUUAGAUCUUCCAGGUAAGUAUAGCAUUUCAACAACUUUUAAUGGGUCUGAUCUUUCUCUCUUUGAUGCGGGUUCGGAUUCGAGGACGAAUCCUUUCAAAGAGGGAAGGGAUGAAGUGAUCUAGGAGACACAAGCGACAAAGUCAAUUCCAACGUCAAGCCCGUGGAAAGAUAUGUUGAUAGUCGAAGGUGGGGUAAUGACGCGAGUGAGGAUGAAGCGAGUGAAAGAGGCAAUGGGAUUGCUUGCCAGGGCGACCGCUGAUGAAACCAUGUUCAGGACUCAAAAACGGGACAAGGUUCAUGUUGGGGAUGAAGGCAGAAGAAGUUUGGAUCAAUGUAUUUCAAAUGACGGAAAAAUGGAUCUCAACCGAGAGCUAUGCGGCUCUCCAACCCAUGCGGUCGCAACGAGGGUGGCAGGGACUUCAAGCCAGGUGAAAAUCUGUACUAUGCGACCGCAUAGAUUAACUCUAUGUGGCCGCAUAGAGGAAAACUUGGGUGGAUGUUCUAUUUUUGGCGAGAAGUUUGUUUCCACUAAAACUCUUAUUAUUUUGGUAACUUAAUAUUGUUAGGAGUUAAUAAUUCCAUUUUCAAUUAUUUUACUAGAGUUUUAUUCUUUUUAAAACUAGUUCCUAGGUUUAGUAUAAAUAGGAUUUUUUUCUACAUUGUAAAAACUUUUUUGACAUUAUUAUUAAUGAGAGACUUUCAUUGCUUUCUUUUUGUCUUCUUCAAUUGGACAAUAUACGAACUUAUCAAGAUUUAAAUCUUGUGACGUUCAAAUCAAUUGGGUGAGAUUUACAUAUUUUUGCGUAAUCAAGAUGUCCGCACAUCGUCGGUGAUUCAAGUUGCUUGGUUCCAAAUUUAUUGAGUUUAAUCCAAAACCUUGCUUUGACUUUCUUGAAUCGAUUUUCAAUCUUGAUUGUGGGUUUGGUAGCGUUUGCUUACAUGAGUUCAUAUUAGGCUAGCUAAACGUUGAUCUAAUAAGAGAGUCUCAACCUUGUUAAUAAGCUCGAGAUCAAGCCUCUCUUAUUGAAUCGAGGCCGAGCCCUAUUAGUCCAAGGUUAAGCACAUCUCAUAAGCUUGAGUUCGUACUUAUCUUAUUAGCUUGAAGUUGAAUAUAUACCACUAGAUUGAGAUCAAUCCUAUCUCACUAGAUUGAGAUCAAUCCUAUCUCACUAGUUCAAGUCUAUCUAUCCAUGCUAGUUGAAAUCAUACAUUGUUAUGUAGAACUUUUUAUAGUAUCUAUUUAUAUAUGUAUUGAUUUAUGAUGAAUGCCACGCUCCACAGUUCCGAAUUUAGAGAUGGGCGAGGCUAUGCUAGACCCCAUCCCUCUAGCCCAAAUGCUAAUUAAAAAGAAAGAUUUAAGUUAAAAAAAAAAAAUUAUGUGUGAUUUAUUUUUAUUUUUUACUUUAUUAUUAUUAUUAUUAUCGUUUUUCGUGUCAGCUCGUCCCAAAAAUUAUCCUGGCUCUGCCACUGACGCUCCAUAAGGAUUGCUCUCAAAGAGAGGUCAACCCAAAUGCUUAGUAAUUUCCUUCGUGUGUUCUAAAGCCUUUUUGGAAGACACUCGAUAUGGGUCGAGGUGUCGAUGCUCCAUGAACAAUACCAAACAAUUAAGAGCAGUGAUAAAUAAUUAUUUCUUUCAAUCCCACUAACUAACAUUUACACUAAUUAAUAAGCUGAUUAAUUUAAUUAACUUUUUUUCUCCUUAAAUUGUUCUUUUUGUUUUUAAAAAUAAUAACCGCCUAUUAAGAUUCUAAAAGGUCACAUCAUGACGUCACCGAAAUUAUCAUUAGUUAAGAGACAAUAAGAUAUUGAGUCAUUAAAGGUAAUUAACUUUUAAUCGACUAAUUAAUUAAAUAAAUCACUCACUUUCUUACACGAUUAAAGUGUAGAGUUACUGUCUGCCCUCGAAAGUGGAAGGCAAAGGAAUUGUGGUUGAGUUCGUGGGUUGACCGGAAGAGGUGGGCAAACUAAUUCCACGGGAGGCGUCUAUAAUCGUUUUUUUUUUUUUCCUUAUUAAUAAUUAAAGAUAAAAUCUUUAACAUCGUCUAAAUACAAAAAUAAUAAUUAAUAUGUCCAAGGAUUAGUUUUAAGUGUAACAAACUGAUCAAGCUGUUCACAUGCUCCGUUCAUCCUGGUUUGAACCAUGGACGAUUCAAACUCGUUGAGACGAGUCAUCGACCGAGCAGGACACUCUUUUUUGGAUUUAUUUACUAAUUUCUUAUAAAAAUAAACCGACUUAUGGAUGGUUCCACUCGACCUAACAAGCCCACGAGCCAAGCUUGGGCUACCAACCUAGACUGGAUCAAGUGGUAAAAACGAAGUCACAUCACAUCAUAUCAUUGACCUUCAUUCAAAAAAAAAAAGGUUGAACCCCAAUCUUGAGGGUCUCCCACCGCCCCUGCCCUGGAGUAUCGUGAGGGAAGUAAAUCGCAGG